AGUGAACGCUGGCGGUAGGCCUAACACAUGCAAGUCGAACGGCAGCACAGUAAGAGCUUGCUCUUACGGGUGGCGAGUGGCGGACGGGUGAGGAAUACAUCGGAAUCUACUUUUUCGUGGGGGAUAACGUAGGGAAACUUACGCUAAUACCGCAUACGACCUACGGGUGAAAGCAGGGGAUCUUCGGACCUUGCGCGAUUGAACGAGCCGAUGUCGGAUUAGCUAGUUGGCGGGGUAAAGGCCCACCAAGGCGACGAUCCGUAGCUGGUCUGAGAGGAUGAUCAGCCACACUGGAACUGAGACACGGUCCAGACUCCUACGGGAGGCAGCAGUGGGGAAUAUUGGACAAUGGGCGCAAGCCUGAUCCAGCCAUACCGCGUGGGUGAAGAAGGCCUUCGGGUUGUAAAGCCCUUUUGUUGGGAAAGAAAAGCAGCAGGUUAAUACCCCGCUGUUCUGACGGGACCCAAAGAAUAAGCACCGGCUAACUUCGU
rnacentral:rRNA from 1 species